rnacentral:rRNA from 1 species
AGCAGCCGCGGUAAUUCCAGCUCCAAUAGCGUAUAUUAAAGUUGUUACAGUUAAAAAGCUCGUAGUUGAAUUUCGAGAUCAAAUUGUUGGUCGUGCCUUGGUACGCACUGGCAUUAUUGGUUUUUCCCUUCUGAAGAACCAUGAUGUCAUUAAUUUGGUGUCUUGGGGAAUCGGGACUGUUACUUUGAAAAAAUUAGAGUGUUUAAAGCAGGCUCGCGCUUGAAUACAUUAGCAUGGAAUAAUGAAAUAGGACGUUUGAUUCUAUUUUGUUGGUUUCUAGGAUUGACGUAAUGAUUAAUAGGGAUAGUUGGGGGCAUUAGUAUUCAAUUGUCAGAGGUGAAAUUCUUGGAUUUAUUGAAGACUAACUACUGCGAAAGCAUUUGCCAAGGAUGUUUUCAUUAAUCAAGAACGAAAGUUAGGGGAUCGAAGACGAUCAGAUACCGUCGUAGUCUUAACCAUAAACUAUGCCGACUAGGGAUCGGAUGAUGUUAAUUAUGACUCAUUCGGCGCCUUACGGGAA